CUACACUGCUCAGUUAUUGUCGUUUUAAAAAGGGGACUGACGGAUUGUGUCAGACAUACAACCAAGCUACCUGUUCAGAACGACUAUACGUUAUUAUCAUGUCAGCAUUGAUCUGAAUGAGCACGCGAUACAGCGGCUCGUGCCGUGACAGCCUUUAAAUACCAGCCCAGACGUCAUGAACAUCAUUCCACAGAAGAAAAGACAGAUAGAAGACGACAGAUAAAAAAAUGGCUUUCAACAAAAGAACAGAGAAGCUGUACACCGACACCUUCAAAGUGGUGAUUCUGCGAGAGACGAUAAAGGUGAAGGAGUGGAACAUCUCGGAGGAGGAGGCAUUGGCCGUCACCACACUGACCAACUAUGCCGCUGGGGUGUCUGAUGGGAAGAGGGCAACUAAAUUUAUAAUGUUUGAGGAAUUGGCUAAGGGGAUAGAGGAGGGGAAGUCUUACAGGAUAAAAAUUUUUGGGUGGAGCAGUUACGGGGAUAUUAGAAGUAGAACAAUGCUGACAAGGCAUCAGACCGUGGCCUACAUUGCUGCCCCGGUCCAAGUCCCCGCCCACCUGGAGGCAGAGGCUCGGGGCUUAAUAUGUCCCGAGUCAAUGCUCGUCCCUCUGCGGGAGAUGGCAGAGGUCGAGGAGACGACGCUGCUGACUGUUCAGGGCUGGGUCAAAGAACUAGGUGCGUUCCACCCGCAAACAGCGGCCGGUGGCACGCCAGUGCCUCGAAGGGCCGUGGUGCUAAAAGAUGUAAGGAAUUGA
rnacentral:lncRNA from 1 species